rnacentral:misc_RNA from 1 species
CAUGAGUGCUACAACUCCCUAACCCAUUGUGAACUAUUACCUGUUGCCUUCGGGCUACCGGCGCUACCCUCGUAGGGUAGUCCCGCCGGUCGGAAUCAAAAUCUCUGUUUUCAGUGUAAUCUCUGACGAUACUUAACUAGUUCUAGCUAACUUCA